UGCUGAGAUUAAGCUUCAGUUGUCUGAUUUGUCUACGAGUUUGCGGGCGAGAGCUUGCAAGUUUGUAGAUUUAGUAAUGGGUGAGUGCCGGGUAAGUGGGAUGGUGUGUUAACAUGUGGAU
rnacentral:rRNA from 1 species